GGGGGGACGGAACGACAGGACUGGCUGAAGACAGGACCGAGUCUUGUAACCAAGGCGCCUGUCCGAUAGAUGGAGGCUGGUCCGAAUGGGUGGAUGGUGACUGCAGUGUGACCUGCGGUGAAGGCGAGAUGACCCAAACCCGAACCUGCACCAAUCCGGCACCAGCUAACGGAGGGGCGCAAUGUACGCGGGGGGACGGAACGACAGGACUGGCUGAAGACAGGACCGAGUCUUGUAACCAAGGCGCCUGUCCGAUAGAUGGAGGCUGGUCCGAAUGGGUGGAUGGUGACUGCAGUGUGACCUGCGGUGAAGGCGAG